rnacentral:rRNA from 1 species
UACGGGGGGGGUAAGCGUUGUUCGGAAUUACUGGGCGUAAAGGGCUCGUAGGCGGCCAACUAAGUCAUACGUGAAAUCCCUCAGCUUAACUGGGGAACUGCGUGUGAUACUGGAUGGCUUGGAUUUGGGAGAGGGAUGCGGAAUUCCGGGUGUAGCGGUGAAAUGCGUAGAUAUCUGGAGGAACACCGGUGGCGAAGGCGGCAUCCUGGACCAAUAUUGACGCUGAGGAGCGAAAGCCAGGGGAGCAAACGGG